rnacentral:miRNA from 15 species
ACUUGGAUAAAGUGCUUUAUUUUG